GAUCGUUUCUACUGCUUUAACUUGGGUCAUGCAAUUUUUGUUCGCAUAAAUCAUAAUAAAGGCCUUCCGGGUUCUGUUUGAGUUGAUUGUUUUAUUUUACUGAAAACCCAUAACUGUGAUUUUUUUUUUUCACGUACUGCUAAUUUUGAUUUAUUUUGUCUAAUAUCGAUCUUUUCUUCAUUUUUAUCAUUGACACCUUCACUUUAAUUUGGUCAAUUUUUUCCUUCUCUUUUAGAUGCUUUAUUAAGCACAAUAACUAUUGAAUCUGGU
rnacentral:misc_RNA from 1 species